AGGAAAAGAGGGGAAAGCGAGGAGGAGCCAGGGGUGCUGCAGGAGGAUGUUGGGGGGCCGUGCGCGGCAGGACAGCUAGAAGGAGCAGACACGUCAGGCACCAGAGCAGACAGCUGAGAAAACAGAGCAGGAGCCAGGGAGGGGACAUCUCCUCGGGAAGCGGGUCUGGGCAGAGGGACUUGGGGGCUGAACCCCAGGAAACAGCUGUGGGCGUGGCUCUCGAGGCGCUUGAGUCCUUGAGGGGGCAGUCCCUUAACUGAGGCCCUGGCUGGGGAGUCUUCAGGGCCUUCUCAACCCCUUCUCUCUGCCCCGGGGAAGUAUCUGGGCUGUGUUGGCCCAGGCACCUGCUUGCCACGAGGGAACCCUGGGGGAGGCACCCAAAGGCCCGCCAGGGAGCUGUCCCACAGGGAUGAGCUUCGCAGUGGUUACAGCCCGUACCCUCAGACACGCUCAGACCCUCCUCCCCUCCUCCCAGGGAGCUGAGAGCGGGAGCCUGUGUCUGGGCCGCGGGAAAGCAGGAGCGCCUCCCCGCCCUUCUGCCUCGCUUUCCCCCAGUUCCUACCCCUGCCCAUCCACGUGGCCCAUCUCUGUAGACGCACUUCUGGAAAACGCCAGGCAAAGGGACGUCGGGUCAGACCCUUCUCUUCCGGCUUCGAGAGCAAAGCCCCAGGCCUGACCACAGCAGACAUGCCCCACGUACAACGCCCACACACGGGUCGCACUCUCUGGCCCCGAGAAACCCACACCUCGAGGACACACACAGGCUCUGCUCCUCUCUGUGAUGCUGGGCCCGUCAGACCAGUGGUUCUCAACUCAGGAUGAUUCUGGUCUCCUCUCCCCCUAUGCCAGAGGAUGUUCAGCAAUGUCCAGACGUUUCUGGUCAUUAUACUUUGGGGAGGACGGGGGAGUUGCUACUGGCUGGCGGCUGGAGGCCAGAGCUCUGCUCAGUGCCCUGCAGUGCAUAGGACGGCCCCACCACGGAGAAUGACGUGGCCCCAAACGUCAACAGUGCCCGGAUUGAGAAACUGCUUUAAACCAUGAGGACCGUAGGAGCUAGGGCAACCCCUCCAGAGAAACAGCAGGAGACGGAGACCAAGGAGGCUCGAAGUCUGGGGCCUCUGCCUUCCUUCCACCACACCUGUGGGCUCUGCGGCCGAGUUAGCCGCAGCCCAGCUCCUCACCUCCACUCCCUCCUUUGGCCCGGUCCGCCCUCCUCUGGGAGAUCAGGAGGUAGCGCCUCCCACAGCACGGGAAGCAGAGGGAGGCUCGCCAGGUAAACCGGGAGGGAAAAAGAGGCGCCAGCCGCCCCGCUCGGGGUUGGCCCUGCAGCACCCAUACCUGCGUCCACGUCGUUGGGCCACCCACUGGACUGGCUGCUGCCAGCUGCUGGGGAGCGGCCUGUGCCAGGAUAGAAGACAUCAUCGACAGGGCUCUCCAUCUCGCUGUCAUCGAUGGACUUGGGGCGCUUGGUGGUGCUGGGGAAGAGGAUCAGGCGGGACAAGGGAAGAUUGACGUACCGGCACCCGAACUGCGCCCCGGUUCGCGCCGGUGACCCGCCGGGUGGGGAGCAGGCGCCUGAUGACCGCAGCAUUCCCAAGCACUCGCUACGUGCCUUCCCCUGAGACCAGACGGGCCCUAGAGUCCCUCGGGACCCCGCAGGUCUGCUCCUCCUCCUCGAACCCCUUCUCAGCCCGUGAUACCUUCAUCCGCAAACCCCCCCUCAACUGCUUCUGUGGUCCCACCUUCUAUUUCCCAUCAGCCCCCAGGGACAGGGCAAGUCGAGAGGCACUCUCCAGGGACAAAAAUGCCAAGGGGUGCUACGGAAUUCAGACAUCAGGAUACUGUGUUCUUUUACGUCAAAAUAUCACUAACACGAGAACAUUAUAACAUCAUAGUGCGAUACUUUAACCAAUAAAAAUAAAUUCCCAAAACCUCA